GCACAAGCGGUGGAUGAUGUGGAUUAAUUCGAUGCAACGCGAAAACCUUACCUACCCUUGACAUGUCUGGAAUCCCGAAGAGAUUUGGGAGUGCUCGCAAGAGAACCGGAACACAGGUGCUGCAUGGCUGUCGUCAGCUCGUGUCGUGAGAUGUUGGGUUAAGUCCCGCAACGAGCGCAACCCUUGUCAUUAGUUGCUACGAAAGGGCACUCUAAUGAGACUGCCGGUGACAAACCGGAGGAAGGUGGGGAUGACGUCAAGUCCUCAUGGCCCUUAUGGGUAGGGCUUCACACGUCAUACAAUGGUCGGGACAGAGGGUCGCCAACCCGCGAGGGGGAGCCAAUCCCAGAAACCCGAUCGUAGUCCGGAUUGUAGUCUGCAACUCGACUACAUGAAGUCGGAAUCGCUAGUAAUCGUGGAUCAGAAUGUCACGGUGAAUACGUUCCCGGGUCUU
rnacentral:rRNA from 1 species